CAGCAGCCGCGGGAAUACGUAGGGUGCAAGCGUUAAUCGGAAUUACUGGGCGUAAAGCGCGCGUAGGCGGUUACUCAAGUCAGAGGUGAAAGCCCGGGGCUCAACCCCGGAACUGCCUUUGAAACUAGGUGACUAGAAUCUUGGAGAGGUCAGUGGAAUUCCGAGUGUAGAGGUGAAAUUCGUAGAUAUUCGGAAGAACACCAGUGGCGAAGGCGACUGACUGGACAAGUAUUGACGCUGAGGUGCGAAAGCGUGGGGAGCAAACAGGAUUAGAUACCCCUGUAGUCCCUGUCUCUUAUAC
rnacentral:rRNA from 1 species